UUUUAGCCCAGAUAGAAACGAUAUCCUUUUUCUGGCUCCUUUAGCCAGAAAAAGGAUAUCGUUUCUAUCUGGAAAAAGC
rnacentral:sRNA from 1 species